UGGGGAAUGACCUGGCUGGUAGCCAUGUGUGGGCUGAUGGUCCACCUCAACCUGUAGUAACUUUUUCUCCUUCUGUUGCAGAGAGGUUUCCUGUUUGCACAGCUACCCAGUCAGUGUUUGGUGGAGAGGCAGAAUCAGGCUUCAAGCCGAGUGGUCCAGAGAGUAUCCUUCACUGUGGUGAUACCUGAUUCUUUCCCUUCAGUUUCUCACAGUGACCUGGCAGCAGAACAACAAGCUGAUCCUUCCCUCAGUGCAAUGUUUGAUUCUUCGCUUUUGGAUGGGGAGAGUUCUGCACAGGGUUAUCUGGCGAAAAACAAUCUGUUGUCUGCUAUCCUGUUGUCUUUACCUUCAUCCUAACUGGUUGAGGCAGAUGACUGCCCUGACUGACCCUGGUUCUGCCUGAGGCUUCAUCCUGGUAAGUAGGAG
ensembl:lncRNA